GUGUCAGCAGCCGCGGUAAUACGGAGGAUGCAAGCGUUAUCCGGAUUCAUUGGGUUUAAAGGGUGCGUAGGCGGGACAAUAAGUCAGUGGUGAAAGCCUGCGGCUUAACCGUAGAAUUGCCAUUGAUACUGCUGUUCUUGAGUACAGUUGAGGUGGGCGGAAUGUGUAAUGUAGCGGUGAAAUGCUUAGAUAUUACACAGAACACCGAUUGCGAAGGCAGCUCACUAAGCUGUUACUGACGCUGAGGCACGAAAGCGUGGGGAGCAAACAGGAUUAGAUACCCUGGUAGUCCACGCCGUAAACGAUGAUCACUAGUUGUUGGCGAUAUACCGUCAGCGACUGAGCGAAAGCAUUAAGUGAUCCACCUGGGGAGUACGACGGCAACGUUGAA
rnacentral:rRNA from 1 species